CCCGGGCCUUGUACACACCGCCCGUCACACCACGAAAGCGAGCAACACCCGAAGCCGGUGGCCUAACUGCAAGGAGGGAGCCGUCGAAGGUGGGGGCCCGUGAUUGGGGUG
rnacentral:rRNA from 1 species